UGGGGAAUAUUGCGCAAUGGGCGAAAGCCUGACGCAGCGACGCCUCGUGAGGGAUGAAGGUCUUCGGAUCGUAAACCUCUGUCAAGAGGGAAGAAACCCUUGAGUUCGAACAGGGCUCUUGGCUGACGGUACCUCUAAAGGAAGCACCGGCUAACUCCGUGCCAGCAGCCGCGGUAAUACGGAGGGUGCAAGCGUUAAUCGGAAUCACUGGGCGUAAAGCGCUCGUAGGCGGUUUGGUCAGUCAGAUGUGAAAGCCCUCGGCUUAACCGGGGAACUGCAUUUGAUACUGCCAGACUUGAGUGUCGGAGAGGGUGGCGGAAUUCCGGGUGUAGGAGUGAAAUCCGUAGAUAUCCGGAGGAACACCAGUGGCGAAGGCGGCCACCUGGACGACAACUGACGCUG
rnacentral:rRNA from 1 species